GUGUGUGUGUGUGUGUGUGUGUAUGUAUCUAUAUAUAUAUACAUAUAUAUAUAUAUGUAUAUAUAUAUAGAUACAUAUACACUCACACAAACAC